UACGGAGGAUGCGAGCGUUAUCCGGAUUUAUUGGGUUUAAAGGGUGCGUAGGCGGGCUUUUAAGUCAGCGGUAAAAAUUCGGGGCUCAACCCCGUCCGGCCGUUGAAACUGUGUUUCUUGAGUGCUGGAGAGGCAAUCGGAAUUCCGUGUGUAGCGGUGAAAUGCGUAGAUAUACGGAGGAACACCAGUGGCGAAGGCGGAUUGCUGGACAGUAACUGACGCUGAGGCGCGAAAGCGUGGGGAGCAAACAGG
rnacentral:rRNA from 1 species